rnacentral:misc_RNA from 1 species
AAGUCGUAACAAGGUCUCCGUUGGUGAGCCAGCGGAGGGAUCAUUGAUGGAAUAAACGCCCUCACAGGCGCUACCCAUAAAGCCCUUUGUGAAUACUACCUAAAAUUGUUGCCUCGGCAUUGGUUGGCCUCUGUGAGGUCCCUUCUCUCUGGGGAAGGAGCAGAUCGGCCGGUGGCCCUAUAAACUCUUGUUUUGGUAAUAUCAUCUGAGUAAAAUCAACUAAAAUUGAAUCAAAAG